rnacentral:rRNA from 1 species
AGCGAACGCUGGCGGCAGGCUUAACACAUGCCAGUCGAGCGGGCACUCCGGUAUCACCUGCUGACAGGUGAGUCACACGUCGGAACGUACCCUUCGGUUCGGGAUAAUGCUGGGUAACGAGCGCUAAUGCCGGAUACGCCCUGUUGGGGCAAGGUUUACUGCCGAAGGAUCGGCCGGAGUCGGUUUGGCUAGUUGGGGGGGUAAUGGCCUAUCAAGGAUUCGUUCAGUAGCUGGGCUGAGAGAAUGAUCAGCGACUCUGGGUCGGGGACGCGGCCGGGAAUCUUACGGGAGGCAGGAGUGGGGAAUAUUGGACAACGGGGGCAAGGAUGAACCAGCCAGGCCGGGUGAGUGAUGAAGGCCUUAGGGAUGUAAAGCACGUUAGUCCGGGACGAUAAUGACGGUACCGGAAGAAUAAGCCCCGGCUAACUUCGUG